GGGUCAGGAGGCUGGUCGUGCCACCGGUACGUACUGGUCUCACUGAUUCCUCCUUCCUGAAGAACCGUAAUGCCAUUAAUUUGGUGUUGCGGGGAAACAGGACUGUUACUAUGAAAAAAUUAGAGUGUUUAAAGCAAGCUAACGCUUGAAUACAUUGGCAUGGAAUAAUGAAAUAGGACGAUCGAUCCUAUUUUGUUGGUUUCUAGGAUUGACGUA
rnacentral:rRNA from 1 species